rnacentral:rRNA from 1 species
UUUGCUACGGAAUAGCCCCGGGAAACUGGGAGUAAUACCGUAUGUGCCCGUUCGGGGGAAAGAUUUAUCGGCAAAGGAUCGGCCCGCGUUGGAUUAGGUAGUUGGUGGGGUAAUGGCCUACCAAGCCGACGAUCCAUAGCUUGGUUUGAGAGGAUGAUCAGCCACACUGGGACUGAGACACGGCCCAGACUCCUACGGGAGGCAGCAGUGGGGAAUCUUAGACAAUGGGCGCAAGCCUGAUCUAGCCAUGCCGCGUGAGUGAUGAAGGCCUUAGGGUUGUAAAGCUCUUUCAGAUGGGAAGAUAAUGACGGUACCAUCAGAAGAAGCCCCGGCUAACUCCGUG